UGAGCGGCUUGCCAGAUGCUUUGCCGGUUGCAGCAGAAGAGCAGCAGCUCACUGAAGGAGAAGCCCGGUCACGUUGUCAUCUUCCCCAUCGAUGUCGUACCGCCACAUCUGGCAGAUGUGCAAGAAGUCAGAGGUCCUCUUCUGGACAGCAGAGGAGGCCAGAGUGAAGAAGAAAAGCAGCAGCUCGCUGACGGAGAACCCUGGCCACGUCGUCAUCUUCCCCUUGGAUGUCGUACCGCCACAUCUGCGAGAUGUACAAGAAGACUGAUGCAUACGUCGGGACAACGGAAGAGACUCUGACACGAGGGGCAUGGAGAAACCUGUUUUUUUUGUUGUUUUUUUGAGGUUGUUCAUCGUUAAAGUACCAGUCUAAGGAGCUUGGAAAGAUGAGCUUCUAGAACUUGUAUGUGAGGAGCAGGAGCUCCCUGAAGGAGAACCCCGC